rnacentral:lncRNA from 1 species
AAGAGUGGAGGUUUUUUUCUUUUAUUGUGGAUCUCUCUCUGUCCAGGGGGUUUCCCUUACUGGGGGCCAGGACCAACCUAUAGGUUCUUUUUUCCUCCUCAGAAUCAGGUUUCCCUUACUGGGGGCCUUUGCAGCUGUCCCCUGUCUCAAUUUAUAUUUGUCUGACUCUGUAUUGAGAUUUAAUUGUUAUCCUUUCGGUUUCCCUUACUGGGGGCCAGGAUAAGUUUUUCCUCCAAGGUUAUUUUUCUCUGGAUCUGCGGCCUGAGGCCCAUUCACUGUUACAUAGUAUCAUCAUGGCCAGUGGUCAGGGUGGCAGAUCUUCCUCUACAAGACCCCGGGAGAGAUCAACUGACCCAGAUAUAUCGCAGGUUCCACCUCCUCGCAGAACACCUGAAGCUACCUUCACGCCUACCGCUGCAGGCUUACGGGAGGAAGAGGAGGAGGAGGAUGUGAUGGCGGAAGUCCCGGCGAAAAUGAGGAAGUGGAUGGAGUUGGCCAUUGCAAAGGGUAUAUCGUCGGGUUUACGGCAUUCACGACAUCAUAGCCAACAGUCCUUCCCUGACUACGCCUCAGCUUCUGGGCGAUCCGUAAGUGUUAUUGACCAACCAGAAUCUCCACCUGAGGACCCUCCUUCCCCUUGUGUCAGAACUUCCCCGGAGCCGAGGGAGUGUCUGAACCCAGAUGAUUGGUUAGAGCAGGGGGGGGAGUCCUCACAGCAUUAUGGCCAGGGCAUCUCGGAGGCGGACCCUUUGGAGCGGGGUAUGUCUGAGGACGAGGGCCUCACUCCGGACCAACCGGUCUUCACGGGUCUUUUUCACCCCCCUCUACUCAAGUCCCUCCUGUUCAAGGCUAGGAAAACGGCCGGUCUGGAUGAGUCCCCCGACCCACAACCUUCGGGGGCCCAACAGAAACAGGGGGAUUUGUUUUUCUCUCAUCCACCCACUGAAACUGAGGUGAUUCCGGUUCCGCACACAUAUGAGGAAUUGUUGGACAAACAAUGGUCCUCGUCAGCAUCUUAUCCUGCCCCCUCCGGUUAUGACAGGAGGCUGUAUAACAUGGCCCCGGGGUUCUCCG